rnacentral:lncRNA from 1 species
UUUACUUUAUUAGGUCUUUCCACUUUUCUGUGGAAAGACCUAUUGUUUUUCUUCUGAUUAUUUUUUUUUUCUUCCGCCUAAUUUUGUUCUUGCGAUAAACAUUUGUUUCGCAAUAUGUCGCUUAGAUAUUUUGUAUAUGAUAUCGAACAGUUUAUGCGCUUUUGAAAUUUACCCUGCGUAAACGAAUACUUUUCUUUGUAGGAGUUAUCUCCCCAAACACUGUUUUCCUUGUUAUGGCAUCUCCUUCGCAACCGUUAAAGAUUAUGACAAAUUUAUUUUACAAAAUUGUUCGUUACAUCCUCAGUAAUUUUUGGCGUAUUUGGAUCGAAGCGAUUCGAAGAAAUUUUAUAGGAGUUAUCUAUCUUUUCGGAAUAAAUUUGUCGGUAUGUUUUUUUAACUCAUAAACCGUUAACCGUAUAACCCUGGAAUGUUUUUAUUUGAGUCCCCUGAUUCCUAACUUAGAAAAUUAGGUCAAGGUCAAAGGUCAAGGUCAUAUUUUAGAUUUUCAUAUGUCUUUGAUUUCCCUAUAACUCUUGAACGGUUAUAGAUACAAAAAAAUUAAGCAGUGAAAAAUGCUUGGUACUUCAAGGGGCAACUUU